rnacentral:lncRNA from 1 species
UCAGCUCUGUUAGCUCGGUCUGUAGGUCUUUGUAUCAGUAUCGGACGUUGCGGAUGUUAUCUCUUGAUUCUUCCUUCGAAGCUAACUUCUUAUUCAUAAGAAUUUUCCCUUAUUUAUUAUGUAUUUCUAAUCUAUGUAUAAAAUAUGAUAAAGGACAAUAUUAUAAAGACAAUAAACCCAUCUGUUUCAUCAUUAGCUAAAGUGGAAUAGUAUGACUGGCUUUCCGGAAAAGAAGACGAAACCCGCUUUAUCGAUAUGAUAAACAUGCGCUCAAAAAUACCUCCCCCCUGCCAAGUGAUCGAGUUGAGUCUGAAUUUGCUGUAGAAGUUGCUCCCGCUCCGGACUGACUUCAAGGAAAGAUAGGAUUGGGCAUUUCCUCCUUCUAUGAAUUUCGUGCUUACUUCUUUGCCGAAACUUCAUC